CUAGAGAUAGAGCUUUCCCCUUCGGGGGACAAAGUGACAGGUGGUGCAUGGUUGUCGUCAGCUCGUGUCGUGAGAUGUUGGGUUAAGUCCCGCAACGAGCGCAACCCUUAAGCUUAGUUGCCAUCAUUAAGUUGGGCACUCUAGGUUGACUGCCGGUGACAAACCGGAGGAAGGUGGGGAUGACGUCAAAUCAUCAUGCCCCUUAUGAUUUGGGCUACACACGUGCUACAAUGGACAAUACAAAGGGCAGCUAAACCGCGAGGUCAUGCAAAUCCCAUAAAGUUGUUCUCAGUUCGGAUUGUAGUCUGCAACUCGACUACAUGAAGCUGGAAUCGCUAGUAAUCGUAGAUCAGCAUGCUACGGUGAAUACGUUCCCGGGUCUUGUACACACCGCCCGUCACACCACGAGAGUUUGUAACACCCGAAGCCGGUGGAGUAACCAUUUAUGGAGCUAGCCGUCGAAGGUGGGACAAAUGAUUGGGGUGAAGUCGUAACAAGGUAGCCGUAUCGGA
rnacentral:rRNA from 1 species